AACGAACGCUGGCGGCAUGCCUAACACAUGCAAGUCGAACGAGACCUUCGGGACUAGUGGCGCACGGGUGCGUAACGCGUGGGAACCUGCCCUUAGGUUCGGAAUAACUCCCCGAAAGGGGUGCUAAUACCGGAUAAUGUCUUCGGACCAAAGAUUUAUCGCCUUUGGUUGGGCCCGCGUUGGAUUAGCUAGUUGUUAGGGUAAAAGCCUACCAAGGCGACGAUCCAUAGCUGGUCUGAGAGGAAGAUCAGCCACACUGGGACUGAGACACGGCCCAGAAUCCUACGCGAGGCAGCAGUGGGGAAUAUUGGACAAUGGGCGAAAGCCUGAUCCAGCAAUGCCGCGUGAGUGAUGAAGGCAUUAGGGUUGUAAAGCUCUUUUACCCGGGAUGAUAAUGACAGUACCGGGAGAAUAAGCUCCGGCUAACUCCGUG
rnacentral:rRNA from 1 species